ensembl:snoRNA small nucleolar RNA SNORA53
GACACACUCCUUAGAUCAAGCCAUUCUGUGCUGCAGCAGCUCAGAGGCCCCCAGCAGCUUUCUGGCUGUACAGUCGGAGGUGCCUGAGUUGUUGGUGUGUGUGAGCAGCCUAAACACU